rnacentral:rRNA from 1 species
AUCGAUGAAGAACGCAGCGAAAUGCGAUAAGUAAUGUGAAUUGCAGAAUUCAGUGAAUCAUCGAAUCUUUGAACGCACAUUGCGCCCCCUGGUAUUCCGGGGGGCACACCUGUUCGAGCGCCAUUUCAACCCUCAAGCCCCGCUUGGUGAUGGGCCCCGCCCGCGGGCGGGCCCGAAACUCGUGGGCGUCGUCGUUCGGCUCCAAGCGUAGCAAAACCCUCGCUUGGGCGCCCGGACGGCGGCCGCCCGGAACGAAUUUUUACAAGGUUGGCCUCGGAUCAGGUGGGGAUACCCGCUGAACUUAAGCAUAUCAAUAAGCGGAGGAAAAGAAACCAACAGGGAUUGCCUCAGUAACGGCGAGUGAAGCGGCAACAGCUCAAAUUUGAAAUCUGGCCCCUUCGGGGUCCGAGUUGUAAUUUGCAGAGGGUGCUUCGGUGGAAGUCCCGGCCCAAGUCCCUUGGAACAGGACGUCAGAGAGGGUGAGAACCCCGUGUCCGGCCGGCGACGCUCCCCGCGUGAAGCCCCUUCGACGAGUCGAGUUGUUUGGGAAUGCAGCUCUAAAUUGGUGGUAAAUUCCAUCUAAAGCUAAAUACCGGCCAGAGACCGAUAGCGCACAAGUAGAGUGAUCGAAAGAUGAAAAGCACUUUGAAAAGAGAGUCAAAAAGUACGUGAAAUUGUUGAAAGGGAAGCGCUUGCGGCCAGACUCGCCCGCGGAUGUUCAGCCUGCCUUCUGGCGGGUGCACUCUUCCGCGGUCGGGCCAGCAUCGGUUUGGGCGGCCGGACAAAGGCCCGGGGAACGUGGCCCCCUUCGGGGGGUGUUAUAGCCCCGGGUGCAAUGCGGCCAGCCCGGACCGAGGAUCGCGCUCUGCUAGGAUGCUGGCGUAAUGGCCGUAAGCGGCCCGUCUUGAAACACGG